GAUGAACGCUAGCUACAGGCUUAACACAUGCAAGUCGAGGGGAAACGAUAUUGGAAGCUUGCUUCUGAUAGGCGUCGACCGGCGCACGGGUGAGUAACGCGUAUCCAACCUGCCCAUCACUUGGGGAUAACCUUGCGAAAGUAAGACUAAUACCCAAUGACGUCUCUAGAAGACAUCUGAAAGAGAUUAAAGAUUUAUCGGUGAUGGAUGGGGAUGCGUCUGAUUAGCUUGUUGGCGGGGUAACGGCCCACCAAGGCGACGAUCAGUGGGGGUUCUGAGAGGAAGGUCCCCCACAUUGGAACUGAGACACGGUCCAAACUCCUACGGGAGGCAGCAGUGAGGAAUAUUGGUCAAUGGACGAGAGUCUGAACCAGCCAAGUAGCGUGCAGGAUGAGGCCCUAUGGGUUGUAAACUGCUUUUAUAAGGGAAUAAAGUGGGAGUCGUGACUCUUUUUGCAUGUACCUUAUGAAUAGACCGGCUAAUUCCGUGCCAGCAG
rnacentral:rRNA from 1 species